AUCCCUUGACAUCCUGCGAACUUUCUAGAGAUAGAUUGGUGCCUUCGGGAACGCAGUGACAGGUGCUGCAUGGCUGUCGUCAGCUCGUGUCGUGAGAUGUUGGGUUAAGUCCCGCAACGAGCGCAACCCUUAUCUUUAGUUGCUACCAUUUAGUUGAGAACUCUAAAGAGACUGCCGGUGAUAAACCGGAGGAAGGCGGGGACGACGUCAAGUCAUCAUGGCCCUUACGAGUAGGGCUACACACGUGCUACAAUGGCCAGUACAGAGGGUUGCAAUACCGCGAGGUGGAGCUAAUCCCACAAAGCUGGUCGUAGUCCGGAUUGGAGUCUGCAACUCGACUCCAUGAAGUCGGAAUCGCUAGUAAUCGUGAAUCAGAAUGUCACGGUGAAUACGUUCCCGGGCCU
rnacentral:rRNA from 1 species